UCUCUAGGGAGCAUGUGCACACUUUGUCAUCUUUAUAUCUCCACCUGUGCACUUUUUGUAGACCUUUCAGGUCUAUGUUGCUUCAUUUACCCCAAUGUAUGUUAAUAGAAUGUUGUGCCUAUAUAAUAUAUACAACUUUCAGCAACGGAUCUCUUGGCUCUCGCAUCGAUGAAGAACGCAGCGAAAUGCGAUAAGUAAUGUGAAUUGCAGAAUUCAGUGAAUCAUCGAAUCUUUGAACGCACCUUGCGCUCCUUGGUAUUCCGAGGAGCAUGCCUGUUUGAGUGUCAUUAAUAUAUCAACCUUCUCUUGUUUGAGUUGUUUGGAUGUGGGGGUUUGCUGGACUCUUAAAUGAAUCAGCUCCCCUGAAAUGCAUUAGCAGAACAACCUGUUCAUUGGCGUGAUAAUUAUCUAUGCUAUUGAAUGUGAGGGCAGUUCAGCUUUCUAAUCGUCCUUGGACAAUUUAUCAUUAAUGUGACCUCAAAUCAGGUAGGACUACCCGCUGAACUUAAGCAUAUC
rnacentral:rRNA from 1 species